GUCUAUGGCCAUACCACCCUGAACGCGCCCAAUCUCGUCUGAUCUCGGAAGCUAAGCAGGGUCGGGCCUGGUUAGUACUUGGAUGGGAGAUU
rnacentral:rRNA from 1 species